rnacentral:rRNA from 1 species
CGUGGGUAAUCUGCCCUCGGCACCGGGAUAGCCCGGGGAAACCCGGAUUAAUACCGGAUGGCCCUUUGAAUCCUCGGAUUCACAGGAAAAGGUAGCUUCGGCCUCCGGCCGAGGAUGAGCCCGCGGCGGAUUAGCUUGUUGGUGGGGUAACGGCCCACCAAGGCGACGAUCCGUAGCUGGUCUGAGAGGACGAUCAGCCACACUGGGACUGAGACACGGCCCAGACUCCUACGGGAGGCAGCAGUGGGGAAUCUUGCGCAAUGGGCGAAAGCCUGACGCAGCGACGCCGCGUGAGGGAAGAAGGCCUUCGGGUUGUAAACCUCUUUCAGGAGGGACGAAGCCACUCGGGUUAAUAGCCCAGAGGGUGACGGUACCUCCAGAAGAAGCCCCGGCUAACUACGUGCCAGCAGCCGCGGUAAUACGUAGGGGGCAAGCGUUGUCCGGAUUUAUUGGGCGUAAAGAGCGUGUAGGCGGCCAGGUAGGUCCGUUGUGAAAACUGGAGGCUUAACCUCCAGCGGUCGAUGGAAACCAUCUGGCUAGAGUCCGGAAGAGGAGAGUGGAAUUCCUGGUGUAGCGGUGAAAUGCGCAGAUAUCAGGAAGAACACCCGUGGC